CCUACGGGAGGCAGCAGUGGGGAAUCUUGCGCAAUGGGCGAAAGCCUGACGCAGCCAUGCCGCGUGAAUGAUGAAGGUCUUAGGAUUGUAAAAUUCUUUCACCGGGGACGAUAAUGACGGUACCCGGAGAAGAAGCCCCGGCUAACUUCGUGCCAGCAGCCGCGGUAAUACGAAGGGGGCUAGCGUUGCUCGGAAUUACUGGGCGUAAAGGGAGCGUAGGCGGAUAGUUUAGUCAGAGGUGAAAGCCCAGGGCUCAACCUUGGAAUUGCCUUUGAUACUGGCUAUCUUGAGUACGGAAGAGGUAUGUGGAACUCCGAGUGUAGAGGUGAAAUUCGUAGAUAUUCGGAAGAACACCAGUGGCGAAGGCGACAUACUGGUCCGUUACUGACGCUGAGGCUCGAAAGCGUGGGGAGCAAACAGGAUUAGAUACCCUGGUAGUCCACGCUGUAAACGAUGAGUGCUAGUUGUCGGCANGCAUNCAUGUCGGUGACGCAGCUAACGACAUAAGUACACUCCGCCGUCGGGGAGGGUACGGUCGGCGAAGAAGUUAAAACUUAACUAAAGUUAAGUUAAGUUAGUUACGGCGUGAGAGCGCGACGGACGACGACGAGGGAGGAGG
rnacentral:rRNA from 1 species